rnacentral:rRNA from 1 species
GAUGAACGCUAGCGACAGGCUUAACACAUGCAAGUCGAGGGGCAGCAUAAAGGUAGCAAUACGUUUGGUGGCGACCGGCGCACGGGUGAGUAACGCGUAUGCAACCUACCUAUCGAGAGGGGGACUAACCCGGCGAAAGUCGGACUAAUACCGCAUAAAACAGGGGCACCGCAUGGUGAUAUUUGUUAAAAAUUUAUUGCUGAUAGAUGGGCAUGCGUUCCAUUAGGUAGUUGGAGAGGUAACGGCUCACCAAGCCUACGAUGGAUAGGGGAACUGAGAGGUUGGUCCCCCACACUGGUACUGAGACACGGACCAGACUCCUACGGGAGGCAGCAGUGAGGAAUAUUGGUCAAUGGGCGAGAGCCUGAACCAGCCAAGUCGCGUGAAGGAAGAAGGAUCUAUGGUUCGUAAACUUCUUUUGCAGGGGAAUAAAGUGCAGGACGUGUCCUGUUUUGUAUGUACCCUGAGAAUAAGGAUCGGCUAACUCCGUG